AAUAACAUUCCAGGCUAGCUUCUGGAAGCAUAGCAUAUGGACCACUACUGACACAUGGUUUUAUGGUGUGCAUCAACUACCACGUUUUCUGUCUGUGGAUUAAGCUGUCCUCUUUCAUAGUUAUAACUUUAUCUUUAGCAGAAACCAGAAUCCUUUUCAAUUAUUUAGAAUUAAAUGUCUUUCAUUCCAAGUUCACCUUUUUUCUACCUAACUGAAGAUUCAAUUUUGCCCUGAAAUUAACCAAUCCAGCAUGUUGGGCUCUUGGAGCAGAAGUCAAGCCUAUGAAUCCUGACUUCAGAAAGGAAACGAUGGUGGUAAUCCAUUAGCGGAAGACAAAUCAGAAGCCAGUUUCUGUGUGUUUUAAAAUGAAGGCUACAGCUGGACAGUGUCUAUCACACUCACUUAAGGCAUUAUUACCUCAUUUAUUACAUAGACAAGAACUGAACAGUGGGUGCCUCAAAGACAUGAUCUCCACUGCAGGCAAUACAGGCCUCUACAAGGUCUGAAGACAAUGACUUCAACUACACGGCUACCUCCACCAGGUCCCAUAGAGGUGGGAAAACACUCAGAGCUCCUCUAGACAUAGAAAGGAAACAAAAUGACAAGUGGAAGGCUUCAGCCCAGACACUGUGAAAGUAAUCUAAGAGGGCUGAAAGCUUUGGCUCCCUGAGAACAAGAAAUGACAGUACAAGACCUACCCACUUGUAACAACUAAAUGCUUCUAACAAGAAAAAGUAACUAAGCAAAAAUAGGCAUCAAAGUUUUCUGACACUGGGAAACUGAUCCCUGGGAGAAGAGAACCAACACAGAAUACAUUAUCUGAUCUGGAGAUGCUUCAUGUGCACUGUGCACCUGCUGCUGGACAGGCUCUUCCAGACUCGUCGCUGAGAUCUGCUGGGCUGACAUGGCUGUCCACGCCUGUUGUUCCUUUAUUGAUUUUCUGUCUCAAUGAUCUAUUAUUGAAAAUAGAGAGCCGAGCUCUCCUACUAUUGUAUAUAUAUUGCUAAAUAUUUCUUCCCUCAGUUCUAAUAUCUGCUUCAUGUACAUAGGUAGGCUAGGGAGUGUAUAUUUACAACUACUCCAUGGAUAAAGGCUUACCAACUUCCUGUUAUUAUACAUGACCUGUGCACCUCAUGAGUUUGCGACAUAAACUCUCAUUUGUCUGACCUAACCUUUGGUUGCUACUUUGCGUGGUACUUCUUUUGCUACCCAUUCAUUUUCAGAGGGGUAUCUGGCUAAGAUCCAUGUCUGGUAGGCAGCACCGACAGCGGUCUUUCCUUAGCUCCAGUUUGACUUUCUGCUGCCUCAAUUAUCCGCAACUGACUCAACUCAACACCCACCACCUAGAUCAUCAUGACUGAGUAGCCAGGAUCAUCUGAAGUGCACAAUCCUUAUGACAUAUAUCCAAGGCCAUCAGCACCUGCCACAGCAACACAACAGCCAUGUUUCACUUCGCUCCAUCUCAUCACGGAGGUACCAGGUCACACCUCGGCACGAGAAGAGGAGUACACCCUGAGGUCCUUGGAAGAAAUCCACAUACACAGAACUUUAUUAUGGUAAAUUAUAGUUCUGUAAGUUCAGGCUAUUAGUCAGAACUUUUAUUACAGCAUAAUUAUAGUUAUUCUAUUAUAGCUAUUACUAUUAAUUUCCUAUACCUACCUUAUAAAUUGAACUAUCAUAAACUCACAUGUAUAAAAGAAAAUCAGGUUUAGCACCCCAGUGGUUUCAGGGCAUCCACUGGUCUCUUGGGCUGUGUGGCUAAGGCAGAGCUGCUGGAGUGGGGUUUUGUUCUGGGGAAUCCAUACAGCAACUCUAUAACUGGACAUGAUUACAGAACUGAAUCCAUUGACUUACUGCCAUCUUUCAUUGCGUUAUGUUGGCCCUUUUGCUUUCCUCCUCUUGUUCUGGCCUCUACGACACAGUCACUCGCCGACAGUGAUGCGCUUUGACUCCUCUGUCCCUACCCUUUGUGUAUCCACUACAUGGUUCCUGCUUACUCUGGGGCCUGUGUAAUUUACAGCAUCCACAGUCCAGUCUAGUUAAGUUAAUAACACACCACAAGGACACCAGGCCUCAGUUUCUCCACUCACAAUCUGUGCCUCUCAGAGCCUCCAUAGUGGAUGUCCAUUAUUAUAGCCAGCAAUACUGGUUUUUAAUACGUUGUCUCUGAAUUUUUAUGAGAAUUAUUAAUUUAUACAAGAUAAUACUUUGUCUCUGAAA